GUUCCACAUCAUCCAAAGUGGACUACAGGUAGAGCCACACCCUCUUCGGCAGCAAGCAUGGCCGACUGUGAGGCAAAGAGGAAGACUCAACCACCACUUCCAUGAGACUUUGCUGCACUUUUCCUCUUUAUAUGGAUCCCAGUGUGCUUCAUUCGGCCAAAUGAAAUGAUUGGACGGUCUGCCUGUCUACCUGCGUACACUCUACCGGAGUCUUCAACAAGCUGUAGCUUGACAGCUGUCACCAGAAGCUCAUUAAUUGCCUGAAAAGCAGCCUCGGGUAAAGUAGAGAUUUUUCUUUUUUUUUUGUCGAAACUGGAACUUGUGAAUUUUCUUUAAUCAAGGUAACUACAACUUUAACCAUAUUUUUUUUUAGUCCUCACUGCCACCUACGGAAUGAUUCAAGACACAGAUACAGGUUAGAAAUUCAAAAUGAGACAAUGCUGCAAGUUUAUAGCCGAACACACGACUGAAACUUUCCUAAAUCUUAUAAUGUUAUAUAGCUCUAUGUUGAAAAAGGGAACUUAUAUAGUAGUCUUGUUUGUUUUGGUCUGCCACUGAACCAUAUAUGAACCACAUAGCAGACUUCUAUUGAGGCCGACAUGAGAGGACGUUGAUGCAACUUUGUCACAGCACAACGGUGGCACGGAGUAACAAGGAGGAGAGGAGGUGAUUUACUUGACAAGGAUGGAGGAAGCGAUGGAUCUCAGGAAGCUGCUGCAGAAGAAAAGAUGGGAGGGAUGAAGAGGGAGUGACAGGGUGACAUGGGUGUCGCACCCUCCUCCGUUUCUAUUGGUCUUACAGGGAUGAAAGUGUCAGCGGUGAAGACAGUUAUCUGAGAGGCACAGGAGGAGGGAGGGAAAAUUGGGAGAAGAAGAAAGAGGGAGAAGGAACGAGGGAGAGAGAGGGAGCUGAAAGAGAGGGAGAAACCGUGAGGAUGAGGUAAGAGUGUGAGGGUGGGAGGAAAGAGAGGAACAGCAGGACGUAUAAACAUUUUGAAUGUGAAUCAUAGGCAUCUGGCAGGAGAGGAGAGGGAGGAGGGGACGGGGACUGAGAUGUGAGACAUAAGGAGAGGUGACAGAGUUGGAGAGUGGGUGAGUGAGACAAAAGUAGACAGAAUGAUGGAGAAUAUGAGAAGCAGGGAGGGUUUGAUGGAAGGAACAAGAAGCAGCGAGGAUGAUGAGCAGAGAAAGAGGCGCCAAUAAAGUGUAAUACAUGUU